rnacentral:ncRNA from 1 species
CUUAUCGAGGUUUCCCCUUGAAAAAAGGAGGACUAAGAGGGAAUCACGUGCAAAUCGUGAGCUGUCGCGCAACUGUAAAUCACCAGUUUCUUUCGGCGAGCAAAGAGAGCCAUUGGGUCGUCCUCGACCUGAGAAGGCGCCACGUCGGAGGUGAAAGCCAGGAGACCUGCCCCGAUG